GAUAAUGUUUGACCAUUAAAAAGCAUGAUAUCUGGACGCUAAAACUAAUUAAUUAAAAAAAAGGGCGCUAACCUUUCCCUCUUAAUUUUUUCCAAUACACUGGACCACCACCACCCCCCGCCGGGACCCCAAACAAAAGAAAAUCCCUCACAUUCUCUCUGUUGCGAUUUUCUCCAACCCACCAUCGAAUAAAUGAAAGAAAACCCCUUAUAUUCUGCACAAAAUUUACAGUUACUGAGCACGGAGCAACUCAGGGAAGAAUCACAUACGAUUUUGGAGUCCUCGCUGCGACUAAUCUUCCGUUUCUGUUGAAGUGGUCUAGGGUUCCGUUUCUGUUGAAGUGGUCUAGGGUUCCGUUUCCGUUGAAGUGGUCUAGGGUUUCGUCCACCUUCUCAUCAAGAUCAAGAAUCAAAGUUGAAGAACCUGUCCUUGAAGAAAGUGUAGAGCAAGUUGAAGUGGAGAGGUUUUUGUUUUGUUUUGUUAGGGAUGGUUCGAAGACGAUGUCUUAUGUACAUAUUCCUCACUUUUGUUCUCUCAUUUUAGAAACUGAUAAAAAUGAUGUCGAACAAUUUGGAUGGAUAUUUUAUGGUACAUGAUGUUUUAGUUCUUUGUAUUAACAAUGAAAAUUUAUAUGAAUAUAGAUUAUUGUUCUA